rnacentral:lncRNA from 1 species
UGACAGUGAAGUUGCCUGUGUAAAAUCUAUUCUUGCCACUUGCCACUGCGUUUGCACGGCUUGAGGAAGGGAAGCCAGCUGUGUUAAUGCCUAGACUCCUUGAAUGACAGGUAAACCCCACACCACGCUCAUGCCAUUUCACGCGGGCUUCCCUGAGGCCUGACCCUGGUAGCCGGCCGCCCCGACCAACUGGGCGCGAUGCUCUCCGAGAGCUGGUGCGGGUGGGGGUGGCUUUCCAGUGUAUACGGCCCCUAGUGCGUACUGGUCAGCUGGUGGGCUGGCGCUCAUUCAUUCGUUCAUUUAUUCAUUCGGUCUCUCUGUAACCUCACCGGGCUCCUGCCGUGUGGCCAGGCACAGCGGGGGGUGUGGGGACAUGGGUGGUGGCAUCUUCUGUGGGAGUUUCUCUGUUUCCCCGGGGCGAGGGUGGCUGUGAGAGCUCCUCUCACGAGGGGGUGGGGCCAGUCUUCCGGGGAGGGCCGAGCUGGAGAAGGGUCCCCAGAGAUGCUCUCUGAGCAUAUGGUGGGGGGGUGGGGGGGGGCGGGGCCCGCCGAAGCCAGGUGGGGCUUUCUUUAGAGCUCCCCAGAGAAUCGUGUACUCUCGAGGGGAAAUAGCUGGAACCCUUCUCCCUGUCCCAGACCGGAUCCCAGAGGCCACCUCCUGCUAUGGGAGAGUGUGGCUGGAGCCCGCCUGUGCUGGAGUCCCGUCUGCUUUGAGCAGCAACUGAUUGGGUCCAUAAAGGGGCAGGAUGUGGACCUUGCCACAUCUGGUCCUGUUGAUUGAUUCAAAAUGUAAUAACAUAAAGUGUCACGUUUCAGCAUUUCUGGAGACUUCUCCCUGUUUAAUCAUAACCUUAGAACAGUGUUUCUCAUCUUUGACAGAGUUGACGUUUUGGGCUGGAUCCUUGUCUGCUGUGGGGCCGUGCUGAGCAGUGUCUCUGGCCCCUACUCAAGUUGUGAUAACCAGCAGUCUGUCCAGACACUGCCUGGUGUCCUCAGCGGCACACGGCUGCCCCCGGUUGAGAACCACUGCCUUAAAACAGCUCAAGUCUGUUCCAUAUGGAGCGUGGCUUCUAGCUGUUGCGGAGACGGCCCCAGCAGAAACUGCCUUAUCUCAGACUGGGUGUCGGGACGGCCCCAGCCGUGGGUAGAGGGCACUGGGACGGAGCUAAAGGGUCUCGUGUUUGUAAUGAAAUCACUAGGAUUCAUAGAAAACCGAUGACUCAUUUCUGCCCCAAAAACCCCGGACAGUUUGGGCUUUUACAAAAGCCCAGAGUAUGUCUGGACAUACUUUGUUCGCAUAAAAAUCAUCUGUCUUAUUUGGUGGAUGGAAUAAGGCAUUUAAAAUCAUUGACCCUAUUUUGGCGUAAGAAUCACAGGUUGACAAAAGGGUUUCUUUCCUUUCGUUUUCUUAGGCUGGGAAUCGCUCCACAGGUGGGGAUAGAGAGUAAGAACAGCAGGUGUUGGUAAUUGGGUGUUUUUGUGUUUUUUUUUUUAACGUUUAUUUAUUGUUGAGGGGGGUGGGGAGAGAGAGAGACAGACAGACUGUGAGUGGGGAAGGGGCCGAGAGAGGGGGAGACACAGAAUCUGAAGCAGGCUCCAGGCUCCGAACUGUCGGCACAGAGCCCGACACGGGGCUUGAACUCAUGAACUGCAAGAUCAUGACCUGAGCCGAAGUCAGAUGCUUGACUGAGCCACCCAGACACCCCUUGGUUUGGUAAUUGUUAAUGUUGGGUGAUUUUUUGUUUUCAAUAUCAUUUUGUUUACUUUUUGUGUUAGAAGUGCUUUCAUAGGGGCGGCUGGGUGGCUCAGUUGGUUAAGCAGCUGACUCUUGAUUUCGGCUCAGGUCAGGAUCUGAAGGUUUGUGAGUUCGAGCCCCAGGUUGGUCUCUGUGCUCACAGCGAAGAACCUACUUUGAAUCCUCUGUCUCUCUCUCUCUCUCUCUCUCUCUCUCUCUCUCCCUCUCUCCCUCUCUCUCCCUCCCUCUCCCAUGUGCACUCUUUCUCUCAAAAAUAAAUAAGUGUUAUAAAAAUUGAAAAGAAGUGGUUUCAUAGUAUGUUUUCUAAAAAGGUAGAGGUUAGAAACCGUGGGCUUUUUUUUUUUUUUUUAAUUUAGAAACCGUGGUUUUAACGCAGAUAUUAUAUGGUAGGGGACACUUAGAAAAUUUGUGAGGAGUCUCGAGCUCGGGGAUCCUCAGUGUGAAGCAUAGUGGCGUUCAGGGGCCGUGAGGGGCACACGUGCAGUCAGGACACGGACACGCAAUGGACGUGCGAUCCGCAAGGAUGUUGCUGCACGAAGGGGGCCGGGAGGCAGCCCCACAGUGGUGAAGUGGCGGGGAAGAACUUGACCUUGAGGGAGGGCAGCCCGGCCUUGCCCAAGGUUGGGGACCUGCCAUCGCCCUGGGGCUCUCUGAGGGGGCGCUAAGUGAAAGUGGCCCUUAGUUUCUCAUUCCUUCUCGGGGGAAGGGAGAAGGCACUAAUUAAGAUCAUCUUUGGCUAUGUGAAUAGUAACUAGAAACAUUUUUAUUUAAACCUUUUGUUGAAAAUCUCUGGUAGGAUAUCAACUCACAGACCUACCUUAAUAUAAAAAAGACGUGAACACCAUUUGUGUGAUUUUGGGGUCCCCUCUCUUUUAAAACUUUUUUAGAGAGUGAGCACACACGAGUGUGUAAGCAGGGGGAGGAGCAGGGGUGAGUGGGGGUGGGAGGGAGAGAGAGAGAGAGAGAGAGAUAGAGAGAGGGAGAGAGAGAAUGAAUAUCUCAAACAGGCACCACGCCCAGUGUGGAGUCUGACAUGGGGCUUGAUCCCACAGCCCCAGUAUCAUGACCUGAGCUGAAAUCAAGAGUCGAACGCUCAAGCAACUGAGCCACCCAGGCGCCCCCACAGGGUCCCCUUUUUUAAUUCAUUGCAGAUUGAACAGAACCCCAGUUCCUGGAGGCCGGACUCCAGCAGAGUGCAUGGGCAGAACUGCAUCCUUAGUCUUGCCUUGCGUUUUCCUAAAACCUUUCUAAGGGGAAAUUUCGAGCUAAAUGCGAGGCAGUCGAUGCUUUAUUGUGGUCUGCUCCUCUGGGGAGAGAAUGCAUCACAAAGCUGGGUUGUAGGGACCAGGGCAGGGUAAGUGCAGGAUGGGGUCGGGAGUCCCACACCCCUAGGAAGGUGUGUGGGUCGGGAGUCUGUGAGCCCCCGCGUGUGAUAUUCAGACUUCGGGAUGCAUGUACUUUUUUCCUGGAGAGGGGCUGUAACUUUCAUUUGAUCAUCAGAAAGUUUCAUGACCCGAAAAGGUUAAAGACCACCGCUGUAGAUGGCCCACACAGCAAGAACUCAGCUGCCUUUGGGUGGACUUUGAAUGUCCCCGCUUUAGGUGGCAAAACCCCCCGUUCUUGCCGUACCUACCCUCCCGCUUUCCACCUCCUGGCCGACAUCUCCGCUCCUUUUCCAGCCUCCCUGCCUCCCCCGCCCCUCCACCCCCACUGCCGGCCAGUCUGCUGAUGGUUAUUGCUGGCCCGGGAGCGGAAGUUGAGCUGCCUUCCUCUGUCUGCUCGUUUUUUUCUGCCCUGGCUUCCCUCUGUUGUCCUGUCUUCAUCCUGCCCCAGGAUUAGAUCCAUAGAAGAUGUUUCUCUGGGAGCUGGGGUCUGUUUUCUCUGCAGCUGACCCAGAGUAAGCACCAGAGACCUGCGGCGGUCUGAGGUCGGGGUCUCCCAGGUGGCCGAGGACCAGUCCGUGGAGCGCCUGGCCAGCCAGGGGUGGGAGGCCACGUGGCGGCCGCCCCCGACUGACUCUCUGGUGGGGUUGUUUUCCUCUUUUGCAGAUCAACGAGUCACUCGAUGGGGAGCAACGGCGGACCACCUUUUUGUGUCACCUUCCCACUUCUCUGUAGCAAGAAAAAUCACUUCAGCACCUCUUCAAUAAUAAUGAUGAAACUGGUAUUAACUGAAUGGCAAUUAUGGAUUUUUAACUCUAAUUCACAGUAAACCAGCAAGCCAUAUGUUUAAAAUCCAACCAAAAAUCAUUCUGUUCUGCUGCGUGUCUCACCCGAUUGUGAGAAGUGGAGAGAUCUCUGUUUGUACAAAGAGGGAUAUAAGCAUCACUUGCCGGAGGAACACAACUGAAGCAGAAGGAGAAGGUGUCCUAAUUUAUCCUUAAAGAUAUAUGAUAGCAUUAUUUAUAUAGAUAGAGGAAAUAUAUAUAUAUUAACAAAUAUAUAUAUAUAUAUACACACAUAUAUAUAUAUAUUUUUGGUGGUAAUGAAAAUGGCUCCGCAAAAUGCCGACUCAGAAUCUAUGCAAGUUCAAGACUUACCUGUGCCCCUGCCAGACCUGCAGAAGCCCGGAGGUGCGGACACCCACUACGAGACCAUCAGCGAGGGGUCCAUAGACCGGAUCCCUGUGCGCCUGUGGGUGAUGCACGGGGCCGUGAUGUUCGGCAGGGAGUUCUGUUACGCCAUGGAGACGGCACUGGUCACUCCCAUCCUGUUGCAGAUUGG